GACGAACGCUGGCGGCGUGCCUAACACAUGCAAGUCGAACGGACGAGGAGGAGCUUGCUUCUCCAAGUCAGUGGCGGACGGGUGAGUAACGCGUGAGUAACCUGCCCUUCAGAGGGGGAUAACGUCUGGAAACGGACGCUAAUACCGCAUGACAUAUUUCCAUCGCAUGGUGGAGAUAUCAAAGGAGCAAUCCGCUGAAGGAUGGACUCGCGUCCGAUUAGAUAGUUGGCGGGGUAACGGCCCACCAAGUCGACGAUCGGUAGCCGGACUGAGAGGUUGAACGGCCACAUUGGGACUGAGACACGGCCCAGACUCCUACGGGAGGCAGCAGUGGGGGAUAUUGCACAAUGGGCGAAAGCCUGAUGCAGCAACGCCGCGUGAGGGAAGACGGUUUUCGGAUUGUAAACCUCUGUUCUGAGUGACGAACAAAUGACGGUAGCUUAGGAGAAAGCCCCGGCUAACUACGUGCCAGCAGCCGCGGUAAUACGUAGGGGGCAAGCGUUGUCCGGAAUUACUGGGUGUAAAGGGAGCGCAGGCGGAGAAGCAAGUCAGUGGUGAAAACGAUGGGCUUAACUCAUCGACUGCCAUUGAAACUGUUUCCCUUGAGUGAAGUAGAGGCAGGCGGAAUUCCGAGUGUAGCGGUGAAAUGCGUAGAUAUUCGGAGGAACACCAGUGGCGAAGGCGGCCUGCUGGGCUUUAACUGACGCUGAGGCUCGAAAGUGUGGGGAGCAAACAGGAUUAGAUACCCUGGUAGUCCACACUGUA
rnacentral:rRNA from 1 species